GGUGUUAACUCCUCGGAACUUCCAGCUGAGAGAAAGCCAACAGGUAGAGAGUCACGGGUUUGUGUCCUAGGAUCAGCGGCAUACCCUGAACCCACACACCAUGGAGCAGACAAUAAUACAGAGAUGGAAAACUUGAAGAUCUGAACAUUGCCAUCAAGGUGGUUAGCUAGUUUUUAUCCGACCUCAUGCUUCCCACGUGUGUGUGUAUGGGACCCCUUCAUAGUCAGUUCCAUACACCUACUGCAAUGACCAAGCAACAACAACCUGCGUUUUCACCUUGAGUAUUGUGCUGAGAGCAAAUUUGUUAUUAUGUCAUAAGCUUGUUAACGACAUAGGAAA